UACGGAGGGAGCUAGCGUUGUUCGGAAUUACUGGGCGUAAAGCGCACGUAGGCGGCUUUGUAAGUUAGAGGUGAAAGCCCGGGGCUCAACUCCGGAACUGCCUUUAAGACUGCAUCGCUUGAAUCCAGGAGAGGUGAGUGGAAUUCCGAGUGUAGAGGUGAAAUUCGUAGAUAUUCGGAAAGAACACCAGUGGCGAAGGGCGGCU
rnacentral:rRNA from 1 species